CCUACGGGCGGCAGCAGUGGGGAAUAUUGCACAAUGGGGGAAACCCUGAUGCAGCGACGCCGCGUGAGUGAAGAAGUAUUUCGGUACGUAAAGCUCUAUCAGCAGGGAAGAAACUGUCGGUACCUGACUAAGAAGCCACGGCUAACUACGUGCCAGCAGCCGCGGUAAUACGUAGGGGGCAAGCGGUAUCCGGAUUUACUGGGUGUAAAGGGAGCGUAGACGGCAGCGCAAGUCUGGAGUGAAAUCCCAUGGCUUAACCAUGGAACUGCUUGGGAAACUGUGCAGCUAGAGUGCAGGAGAGGUAAGCGGAAUUCCUAGUGUAGCGGUGAAAUGCGUAGAGAUUAGGAGGAACACCAGUGGCGAAGGCGGCUUACUGGACUGUAACUGACGUUGAGGCUCGAAAGCGUGGGGAGCAAACAGGAUUAGAUACCCGGGUAGUC
rnacentral:rRNA from 1 species